rnacentral:tRNA from 1 species
GGCUGGCUCAGUCGGUAGAGCUAAGGGCUCGCGACCGAGAGGUCUGGGUUCAAAUCUCGCCA